GAUGAAACUGAUGAUGAACUCUUUAAUUGAGAUAACAGAUUUUACUAAUGCCUCCCCGUGGGAAAGUUUUGUCUCCACCAUUGAAGACAUAUUGCAACAGUGGGGCCUCACUGCAUCCACUUAUUCAGCAGAUUCUGGUUAUUGGCCACAGCAUAGGAAGUCAGAGAAACUCUCUUAUGUUGGACAUAAUUUCAUUGUUAGCCUCCACGUGUCUGGGGAGAAGAAACGACUGAUACCCAAACAAUCAGAUCAGGAUUGGCCUGAUGCUAUGGUACAUAUGAUGGAUUCAUCAAGUGAUUUCCCUCCAAGAGCUCAUCAUCAUAUCUCUAGAUGGUAUGGUGUUGAUCAGUUUAUAUUGAUAUCUCCUGAUGAGAAGAGUCAUGCAAUAUCAAGUGAAGCUCAGUCCAAACUAUUACUCAGUUCAAUAUCUCUGGCUGUAGCUAACACUGGAUGUACAUUGCCUAUAUUCAUUCAGAUACAGAAGAAUUAGCGUCACAUGUUUAGCGGACAGUGUGAGGGGUGUGGUCUCCGUACAUGUUUUGAAAUGAUACAUUUGAGACAUAUUCCACCUCACUUUAGUCACCUCUCAGGACUACUGAACUUAUUCCGAUCAAAACUGAAUGGUGUGAAUGUUAAUCCUCCUGAUAUUGAUAUUGCUGCUAGACUAACAUAUUGUCUAAGACACUGGAAUGUGGAGGAUUGGCCACGUCUGGUGAUGGGAGUGAUUGUUUCCUUAGUCUGCCAGUAGGAGCAAGUUCUGAUCCUAUACAGGAGAUUCAUCUUUGUGCUGUUGGCCUCUACUACAACUGAAUUAACAGUCGCUGACAAUGAAACUAAUUCGUAAGUUGAUGUGUAGUGUUGUUUACUUAAUGCAAUGCUGUUAUUUUAUAUUAAAGAGGGUUUGAUCCAUUCAAUGCUUCUAAAUGGAGCAUCAGGACACAGUUACUUGAUAAUCCAGGAUUAUUGCUGAAUGAGAGGUUGUGCUCAUUUUUAAAGAAUUGCUACAGAUCAGAUACAUUCACUAACUUAUUAGGUAACAAAUUACUUUAAGAAGACAUAUACAAUCCUGGUAGGUAUAGACCAGUUGGUGCUAAGUAUAUCUAUAGAAUUUUAAGUAUAUUCAUCGUGAUAUGUAGCUCCAACUUUGAACAAAUUCUCUCAAGCAUUUUUGAGGGUUAAUU